rnacentral:rRNA from 1 species
UACGGAGGGUGCGAGCGUUGUCCGGAAUCAUUGGGCGUAAAGGGCGCGUAGGUGGCGCGGCAAGCGUGCGGUGAAAGCUCGGGGCUCAACCCCGAGUCGGCCGUGCGAACUGCUGGGCUUGAGCACUGUAGAGGCAGGCGGAAUUCCGGGUGUAGCGGUGGAAUGCGUAGGGAUCCGGAAGAACACCGGUGGCGAAGGCGGCCUGCUGGGCUAUGGCUGACACUGAGGCGCGACAGCGUGGGGAGCAAACAGG